GACGAACGCUGGCGGCGUGCCUAAUACAUGCAAGUCGAGCGAAGUUUUUCUGGUGCUUGCACUAGAAAAACUUAGCGGCGAACGGGUGAGUAACACGUAAAGAACCUGCCUCAUAGACUGGGACAACUAUUGGAAACGAUAGCUAAUACCGGAUAACAGUAUUUCUCGCAUGAGAGAUAUUUAAAAGUUGGUUAUGCUAACACUAUGAGAUGGCUUUGCGGUGCAUUAGCUAGUUGGUGGGGUAAAGGCCCACCAAGGCGACGAUGCAUGGCCGACCUGAGAGGGUGAUCGGCCACACUGGGACUGAGACACGGCCCAGACUCCUACGGGAGGCAGCAGUAGGGAAUCUUCCGCAAUGGGCGAAAGCCUGACGGAGCAACGCCGCGUGAGUGAAGAAGGAUUUCGGUUCGUAAAGCUCUGUUGUUAGGGAAGAAUGGAUAUGUAGUAACUAUACAUGUAAGAGACGGUACCUAACCAGAAAGCCACGGCUAACUACGUG
rnacentral:rRNA from 1 species